UACAGAGGUCUCAAGCGUUGUUCGGAUUCAUUGGGCGUAAAGGGUGCGUAGGUGGCGCCGUAAGUCAGGUGUGAAAUCUCGGGGCUCAACCCCGAAACUGCACUUGAUACUGCGGUGCUCGAGUACUGGAGAGGAGACUGGAAUUCCUGGUGUAGCAGUGAAAUGCGUAGAUAUCAGGAGGAACACCGAUGGCGAAGGCAGGUCUCUGGGCUGACACUGACGCUCAUGCACGAAAGCGUGGGGAGCAAACAGG
rnacentral:rRNA from 1 species